rnacentral:rRNA from 1 species
AUACGUAGGGUGCGAGCGUUGUCCGGAAUUACUGGGCGUAAAGAGCUCGUAGGUGGUUUGUCGCGUCGUCUGUGAAAUUCCGGGGCUUAACUCCGGGCGUGCAGGCGAUACGGGCAUAACUUGAGUACUGUAGGGGAGACUGGAAUUCCUGGUGUAGCGGUGAAAUGCGCAGAUAUCAGGAGGAACACCGGUGGCGAAGGCGGGUCUCGGGGCAGUAACUGACGCUGAGGAGCGAAAGCAUGGGUAGCGAACAGGAUUAGAUACCCUGGUAGUCCAUGCCGUAAACGGUGGGCGCUAGGUGUAGGGGUCUUCCACGACUUCUGUGCCGUAGCUAACGCAUUAAGCGCCCCGCCUGGGGAGUACGGCCGCAAGGCUAAAACUCAAAGGAAUUGACGGGG